GCAAGUCGAACGAUGACGCCUAGCUUGCUAGGUGGACUAGUGGCGCACGGGUGCGUAAUAUAUAGGUAACGUGCCUCUUAGUCUGGGAUAGCCAUUGGAAACGAUGAUUAAUACUAGAUACUCCUUCUCAUUAUAAUAUGAGUCGGGAAAGUUUUUCGCUAAGAGAUCGGCCUAUUUCCCAUCAGCUUGUUGGUAGUGUAAGAGACUACCAAGGCUAUGACGGGUAGCUGGUUUGAGAGGAUGAUC
rnacentral:rRNA from 1 species